UUGUCUCUGCAACAGUUUUUCCUAGAGCCAAUCACGUGUCAUGCCUGGAACAGGGAUCAUACCCAAAUUGCCCUUGGCCUGAAUAAUCACAAAAUCCACAUCUGUAAGAAGAAUGGGAGCCAAUAGCAAAACCUCAUAAACUCCAGAAGCACAAUCACAGGUACUGACUGGGCUCCCAAGCAUGACCACAUUAUCAUUUGCAUGAGUCAGAAAGAUGGUGUCUGGAAGCUAACCCUGGUGAUCCUGAGAAUUGAUCAUGCAACUACUUUUGUGAAGUGGUCCCUCCUAGAGAACAAAAUUGUUGUAGGUAGUGGAGCAUCGCUUUUUAUGUGUGUGUGAAAAUGAAUAGUGGAUAAGCAAGUUAAUUUAAAGGCCAAUUAAUUUCAUUGUCCUUUGGAUUGGCAUUCCAACAAUGUUUUGCUAGUAGCAGGUUCAUGUGACUUCAAAUGAAGAGUGUUUCUGCAUACAUUAAUGUUUGAAAACCCAACCAGUAUGCCAUGGGACAGCAAGAUGCCUUUUGAUUAGCUGAUGUCAUAGCUUGGUGCCACUGGAGACUGGGUCCCAGGUUCAAUUUGUCUAUGGGAGCUCUCUGGCCUGGAUGAGCUAUGAUAGCAACAUGUUCUUUACUGAUGCUUCAGAGUGCAGAUUUCAACUCUGAAAGAAGUUGCUGCCUGUCAUGAAUAUAUCAUUUGUCUUGGAGAAUAACAUUGUUGUAGCCACUGGCCAAGACUGCUGCUGAAGGCUCUGUAACUAUGAUGGUGAUGGAUACUUGAUCUUAGUCUCCAAACUAGAUAUUCCAAAAUAGAGCAUGCAGCAUAAAAUGUCAGCCAUGGAACACUUCCACACGCAUACAAAAGAGCCACAACCACAGACAGCAAUAUAGCUACAGAGAAGCUGCUUCAUAACAUCAUCACUCAAAUACCUAUUUAUGAAGUGGAAAAGCAAUAUUU
rnacentral:lncRNA from 1 species